UACGUAGGGUGCAAGCGUUAAUCGGAAUUACUGGGCGUAAAGCGUGCGCAGGCGGUUAUGUAAGACAGAUGUGAAAUCCCCGGGCUCAACCUGGGAACUGCAUUUGUGACUGCAUAGCUAGAGUACGGUAGAGGGGGAUGGAAUUCCGCGUGUAGCAGUGAAAUGCGUAGAUAUGCGGAGGAACACCGAUGGCGAAGGCAAUCCCCUGGACCUGUACUGACGCUCAUGCACGAAAGCGUGGGGAGCAAACAGGG
rnacentral:rRNA from 1 species